rnacentral:lncRNA from 1 species
CCAAAAUAGAUUUUAGUGCAAAAUGUACUUCAAAAAUGUUAAGAGAGAUAUUUCAAAUGAUCCAACCAACAAUUUUCAAGUAUUUUUUAAACUACCAAACAUAUAUUAUUAUAAGAUUUUUUUUUUUUGUAUUAUUGAUUUAAAAAAAAGUUUAUGGAAUUUGUUUUAUUUUUUUAGAUUGCAUCACUUUCCUACAAAAUCAUUUAGAUGGUCUCAUCUCCUUAUUAUAAAUAUUUUCCUUUAUAAAAA